UAACCCUGGCAAUGGACUGAGACACCUUGGUGGUGGUGUUCUUCUAUCAGUCAGGGACAGAGCAGAUGGCAGCACUUUGUUUAUUCUAGCUUGAUGCCUGGCUUGGUGGCUAAAGCUGUUUUAUGCUUUGGGCUCAUAA